AUAGCAACCAGUAACAGUCAGCUCUUCCCCUUUUUCUGUUGCUGUCUGUUACUGUGGGGCGGAAGAUGCAGGAGCUGCUAACCACCAACUCGUUUAUUUGUCUCUUGUUAGAAAAUGGCUGCUUGAACUCUUACUGUAUCUGGCUUCAGGUUAAUCACAAGUUAACUACAUGCGCCAUCAAGCUUGGCCCUAAUUACAGGAUAGGGUGAAAGGAAGUAAACUUCCCUCUUUGCUGUGGUGCCCUGGAUGGGAAGCAUGUAAGAUUAAAGGCACCCCCCACCUCUGGCUCCCUUUUUAAUAGGGUAACAGGAAGUAAACACACU